CCUACGGGAGGCAGCAGUGAGGAAUAUUGGUCAAUGGGCGAGAGCCUGAACCAGCCAAGUUGCGUGAGGGAGUACUGCCCUAUGGGUUGUAAACCUCUUUUGUCGGGGAGCAAAAGCCGGACGUGUCCGGCUGUGAGAGUACCCGAAGAAAAAGCAUCGGCUAACUCAGUGCCAGCAGCCGCGGUAAUACGGAGGAUGCGAGCGUUAUCCGGAUUUAUUGGGUGUAAAGGGGGCGCAGGCGGAUUGUUAAGGAAGCGGUAAAAGCGUGGGGCUCAAACCCAUCCAGCCGUUGGAACUGGGGAUCUAGAGUGUGCGAGGGGCAGGCGGAAUGCCUGGUGUAGCGGUGAAAUGCAUAGAUAUCACGCAGAACCC
rnacentral:rRNA from 1 species